rnacentral:rRNA from 1 species
GACGAACGCUGGCGGCGCGCUUAACACAUGCAAGUCGAACGGAAAGGCCUGCUUUCCCUUGUGGAUUGCGGGUACUCGAGUGGCGAACGGGUGAGUAACACGUGAGUGAUCUGCCCCCAACUUGGGUAUAAGCCUGGGAAACUGGGUCUAAUUCCCGAUAGGACUGCAGGGUGGUGCCUGUGGUGGAAAACGAUUUUCUAGUGGUUGGGGAUGAGCUCGCGGCCUAUCAGCUUGUUGGUGGGGUAAUGGCCUACCAAGGCGGCGACGGGUAGCCGGCCUGAGAGGGUGGACGGCCACAUUGAGACAGGGAUACGGCCCAGACUCCUGCGGGAGGCAGCGGUGGGGAAUAAUGCACAGUGGGCGGGAGCCUGAUGCAGCGACGCCGCGUGGAGGAUGACGGCCUUCGGGUGGUAAACUCCUUUCGACCGCGAGGAAGCCACCUGGUUGGAAGGGUGGUGACGGUAGUGGUAGAAGAAGCACCGGCUAACUACGUG